AGCGAAAGCGUUAAGUGAUCCACCUGGGGAGUACGCCGGCAACGGUGAAACUCAAAGGAAUUGACGGGGGCCCGCACAAGCGGAGGAACAUGUGGUUUAAUUCGAUGAUACGCGAGGAACCUUACCCGGGUUUGAACGCAUUCGGACCGAGGUGGAAACACCUCUUCUAGCAAUAGCCGUUUGCGAGGUGCUGCAUGGUUGUCGUCAGCUCGUGCCGUGAGGUGUCGGCUUAAGUGCCAUAACGAGCGCAACCCUUGCCACUAGUUACUAACAGGUAAAGCUGAGGACUCUGGUGGGACUGCCAGCGUAAGCUGCGAGGAAGGCGGGGAUGACGUCAAAUCAGCACGGCCCUUACAUCCGGGGCGACACACGUGUUACAAUGGUGUGGACAAAGGGAUGCCACCUGGCGACAGGGAGCGAAUCCCCAAACCACGUCUCAGUUCGGAUCGGAGUCUGCAACCCGACUCCGUGAAGCUGGAUUCGCUAGUAAUCGCGCAUCAGCCAUGGCGCGGUGAAUACGUUCCCGGGCCUUGUACACACCGCCCGUC
rnacentral:rRNA from 1 species